rnacentral:lncRNA from 1 species
CAAUUAAUUUGCUGAUACAUUCCAUCUACAUCUCUCUCUCUCUCUUUUUUUGGAGACAGGGUCUUGCUCUGUUGGUCAGGCUGGAGUGCAGUAGCACAAACAUGGAUCAUUCCAGUCUCUACCUCUUAGGCUCAAGUGAUCCUCUCACUUCGGCCACCCAAGUAGUUGGAACUACAGGUGUGUGAAAACAUGCCUGGUUAAUUUCUGUUUUUUUGUUUUAUUUUGUUUUGUUUGUAGAGACAAGGUUUCACGAUGUUGCCCAGGCUUGUCUCAAACUCCUGGCUCAAGUGAUCUGCCCAACUCGGCCUCCCAAAGUUCUGGGAUUACAGAUAAUGAAGCUCAGAGAGGAUAGCCACCUCCUCAAGGACACAGAGUAAGUGAUGCAAGCCUGGAGCUGAGCCCAGGCAGUCUCCAUCCAGAACCCAAGCUCUUAGCCAUUAUACCAAACCACCUGCCUUGGGACCUGUCUUAUUAUGCCUAACAUCUGAUAAAGGAAUGAAAACCUAUUUCUCGUUAUAAUUUUUUUUGGGCUAUUGAAUCUAUAAUAAGUGGAACCAACAAGAACUUCCAAGUGAUUGCUGGUACUUAUAGUUAACAAUGUGUGUAUCAUCUAUUUUUUUUUUUUUUUGAGAUGGAAUCUAGCUCUGUCGCCUAGGCUGGAGUGCAGUGGCGCAAUCUCGGCUCAUGCAACCUCCAACCUCCCAGGUUCACGCAAUUCUCCUGCCUCCGCCUCCUGAGUAGCUGAGAUUACAGGUGUGUGCCACCAUGCCCAGCUAAUUUUUGUAUUUUUAGUAGAAAUGGGGUUUCACCAUGUUGGUCAGGCUGGUCUUGAACUCCUGGCCUCAUGAUCAACCCGCCUUAUCCUCCCAAAGUGCUGGGAUUUCAGGCAUGAGCCAGUGUAUCAUCUUUUAGCUCUGCAUCUGAGCAUAAUCUAAAGACUCACAGUUCUGUGAGGA